UGGGGAAUAUUGGGCAAUGGACGCAAGUCUGACCCAGCAACGCCGCGUGAAGGAAGAAGGCUUUCGGGUUGUAAACUUCUUUGACAGGGGAAGAGCAGAAGACGGUACCCUGAAAACAAGCCACGGCUAACUACGUGCCAGCAGCCGCGGUAAUACGUAGGUGGCAAGCGUUGUCCGGAUUUACUGGGUGUAAAGGGCGUGCAGCCGGGAAUGCAAGUCAGAUGUGAAAUCUGGAGGCUCAACCUCCAAACUGCAUUUGAAACUGUGUUUCUUGAGUAUCGGAGAGGUAAUCGGAAUUCCUUGUGUAGCGGUGAAAUGCGUAGAUAUAGGGAAGAACACCAGUGGCGAAGGCGGAUUACUGGACGACAACUGAC
rnacentral:rRNA from 1 species